rnacentral:rRNA from 1 species
CCUACGGGAGGCAGCAGUGAGGAAUAUUGGUCAAUGGGCGGGAGCCUGAACCAGCCAAGUCGCGUGAGGGAAGAAGGCGCCAGGCGUCGUAAACCUCUUUUGUCAGGGAACAAAGGGCGCCUCGCGUGCCGUUGUGAGUGUACCCGAAGAAAAAGCAUCGGCUAACUCCGUGCCAGCAGCCGCGGUAAUCCGGAGGAUGCGAGCGUUAUCCGGAUUUAUUGGGUUUAAAGGGUGCGUAGGCGGACCGGAAAGUCAGCGGUAAAAGCGCGGGGCUCAACCCCGGCGCGCCGUUGAAACUGUCGGACUAGAGACAGCGAGGAGUACGCGGAAUGCGCGGUGUAGCGGUGAAAUGCAUAGAUAUCGCGCAGAACUCCGAUCGCGAAGGCAGCGUACCGGCGCCGAACUGACGCUGAUGCACGAAAGCGUGGGUAUCGAACAGGAUUAGAUACCCGAGUAGUC